rnacentral:lncRNA from 1 species
UCAGAGUCAGAGUUUGAGUCCGAGUUUCUGAUCCUUGGUCCUAGCCUCCCUAGAACACCUAUCAGUGUUCCCUCUCUUGAACCCGAGUUGUCACCUAGUUUGAGUUUGAGUUCUAGUUCAACACCUGAAUCUGAGCCAGUAAGUGUUCAUGGUCCUUCAAGGCCUUCUGUUUUACAGGAAUCAGCACCUCCAACACCAACUCUAGUGUAUCAGAGAAGAAGUAAACAUGACCUUCUCCAGAAACAAAUUCAAUCGCCUGAACCGAAGGUAAGUACUGAAAAUGAUUCCUCUAGUGAUGAUUGUGCCAUUUCUGAUACUUGUGACACUAAUCCAGUUGAUUUACCCAUUGCUUUGAGGAAGGAUAAAAGAUCUUGUCCCUCCCUAUAUCGACACUCUAUCUCUCAAUAUGUCUCCACUAAACAUCUUUCCACACAAUAUCAA